AAAAUUCUUCGGGGUCGGGUGAAAGUCCCAACCGGCGGUGAAAGUCCGCGACCUGCCUUUUGGCGGCUGAUCCGGUGCAAUUCCGGAACCGACAGUACAGUCUGGAUGAGAGAAGAAAAUG
rfam:Ruminococcus sp. DSM 100440 contig00003, whole genome shotgun sequence.